GGCGCUUGGGUCCGUCGCUGCCUCGGUGUCCCUGUCGGGCUUCCCAGCAGCGGCCUAGUGGAAAAGUAAAAGAUGUCUGAAUAUAUUCGGGUAACCGAAGAUGAGAACGAUGAGCCCAUUGAAAUACCAUCGGAAGACGAUGGGACGGUGCUGCUGUCCACGGUUACAGCCCAGUUUCCAGGGGCGUGUGGGCUUCGCUGCAGGAAUCCGGUGUCUCAAUGUAUGAGAGGUGUCCGGCUGGUAGAAGGAAUUCUGCAUGCCCCCGAUGCUGGCUGGAGAAAUCCGGUGUAUGUUGUCAACUAUCCGAAAGAUAACAAAAGAAAAAUGGGUGAGACAGAAGCUUCAUCAGCAGUGAAAGUGAAAAGACCAGUCCGAUUUAAUAGUGUUGGGUCUCCCAUGGAAAACAACUGAACAGGACCUGAAAGAGUACUGUAGUACCUUUGGAGACGUUCUUAUGGUGCGGCAAAGCCAAGAUGAGCCUUUGAGAAGCAGAAAAGUGUUUGUGGGGCGCCGUACGGAGGACAUGACUGAGGAUGAGCUGUGGGAGUUCUUCUCUCAGUAUGGGGAUGUGAUGGAUGUCUUCGUCCCCAAGCCGUUCAGGGCCUUUGCCUUUGUUCCAUUUGCAGAUGAUCAGAUUGCGCGGUCUCUUUGUGGAGAGGACUCGAUGAAAGGAAUCAGCGUUCACAUAUCCAAUGCCGAACCCAAGCGCAAUAGCAAUAGACAGCAAGAAGUGGAAGAUUUGGUGGUAAUCCAGGUGGCUUUGGGAAUCAGGGUGGAUUUGGUAAGAGUAGAGGGGGUGGAGCUGGUUUGGGAAACAAUCAAGGUAGUAAUAUGGGUGGUGGGAUAAACUUUGGUGCGUUCAGCAUUAAUCCAGCCAUGAUGGCUGCCCCCCAGGCAGUGCUGCAGAGCAGUUGGUGUACGAUGGGUGUGUUAGCCAGCCAGCGAAGCAGCCAGGCCCAUCGGAUGAUAACCAAAGCCAAGGCAACAUGCAGAGGGAGCCAAACCAGGCCUUCGGUUCUGGAAAUAACUCUUGUAGUGGUUCUAAUUUUGGUGCAACAAUUGGUUGGGGAUCAGCAUCCAAUGCAGGGUCGGGCAGUGGUUUUAAUGGCGGCUUUGGCUCAAGCAUGGAUUCUAAGUCUUCUGGCUGGGAACGUAGACAGUGGGGUUGUGGUUGGUUGGUAUAGAAUGGUUGGAAUUCAAAUUUUUCUAAACUCAUGGUAAGUAUAUUGUAAAAUACAUAUGUACUAAGAAUUUUCAAAAUUGGUUUCUUCAGUGUGGAGUAUAUUCAGUAGUAUUUUUGACAUUUUUCUUUAGAAAAAGGAACAGCUAAAGGAAUUUUAUAAGUUUUGUUACAUGAAAGGUUGAAAUAUUGAGUGGUUGAAAGUGAACUGCUGUUUGCCUGAUUGGUAAACCAACACACUACAAUUGAUAUCAGAAGGUUUCUCCUGUAAUAUUUUAUCCCUGGACUUGUCAAGUGAGUUCUUUGCAUGUUCAAAACUUGUCUCCCCUCAAACACAAAAGUACAAUAUGAAGCCUUCAUUUAAUCUCUGCAGUUCAUCUCAUUUCAAAUGUUUAUGGAAGAAGCACUUGGUUGAAAGUAGUGCUGUAAAUAUUCUGCCAUAGGAACACUUCUGUCUACAUGCCUUCUCAUUCAAGAAUUCGUCAUCACGCAUCACAGGCCGCGUCUUUGACGGUGGGUGUCCCAUUUUUAUCUGCUACUCUUUAUUUCAUAGAGUCGUAUCAACGCUGUGAACGCAAGGCUGUGAUAUGGAACUAGAAGGCUGUUUGAACUUUUGAAACCUUGUGUGGGAUUGACGGUGGUGCUGAGGCAUGAAAGGCUAGUAUGAGUGAGAAAAGGAGAGAGCACGUGCAGAGACUUGGUGGUGCAUAACGGAUAUUUUUUAACUUGGCGAGAUGUGUUUCUCAAUCCUGCGGCUUUGGUGACAGUGUGCAGACAGCAAUGAUAGCAAAUAAUGUACGAAUGUUUUUUGCAUUCAAAGGACAUCCACAUCUGUUGGAAGACUUUGAGUUUUUGUUCUUAGAUAACCCACUUUAUUUGAAUGUGUUAAGUGAAAUGAUACUUGUACUCCCCCUACCCCUUUGUCAACUGCUGUGAAUGCUGUAUGGUGUGUGUUCUCUUCUGUUACUGAUAUGUAAGUGUGGCAAUGUGAACUGAAGCUGAUGGGCUGAGAACAUGGACUGAGCUUGUGGUGUGCUUUGCAGGAGGACUUGGAAGCAGAGUUCAGCAGUGAACUCUGGUGUCUCAAAGAAGGGUAGAAGUUCUAAUGUCUGUUAGCUACCCAUAAGAAUGCUGUUUGCUGCAGUUCUGUGUCCUGUGCUUGGAUGCUUUUUAUAAGAGUUGUCAUUGUUGGAAAUUCUUAAAUAAAACUGAUUUAAAAAAAAAAAACCAAAAAUCUAAGUAAA
rnacentral:lncRNA from 1 species